rnacentral:rRNA from 1 species
UCAUACGGGAGGCAGCAGUGGGGAAUAUUGCACAAUGGGGGAAACCCUGAUGCAGCCAUGCCGCGUGUGUGAAGAAGGCCUUCGGGUUGUAAAGCACUUUCAGUUGUGAGGAAAAGUUAGUAGUUAAUACCUGCUAGCCGUGACGUUAACAACAGAAGAAGCACCGGCUAACUCCGUGCCAGCAGCCGCGGUAAUACGGAGGGGGCGAGCGUUAAUCGGAAUUACUGGGCGUAAAGCGCACGCAGGCGGUUUGUUAAGCUAGAUGUGAAAGCCCCGGGCUCAACCUGGGAUGGUCAUUUAGAACUGGCAGACUAGAGUCUUGGAGAGGGGAGUGGAAUUCCAGGUGUAGCGGUGAAAUGCGUAGAUAUCUGGAGGAACAUCAGUGGGGAAGGCAACUCCCUGGCCAAAGACUGACUCUCAUGUGCGAAAGUGUGGGUAGCGAACAGGAUUAGAUACCCUGGUAGUCCACACCGUAAACGCUGUCUACUAGCUGUGUGUGUCUUUAAGAGCGGCGGAGCGAAGCAUACCCCCUAAGUAAACCGCC